CCUACGGGUGGCUGCAGUGAGGAAUAUUGGUCAAUGGACGAGAGUCUGAACCAGCCAAGUAGCGUGAGGGAUGAAGGCCCUACGGGUUGUAAACCGCUUUUAUACGGGAAUAAAACGCGGCACGUGUGCCUUUCUGCAUGUACCUUGCGAAUAAGGACCGGCUAAUUCCGUGCCAGCAGCCGCGGUAAUACGGAAGACCCGAGCGUUAUCCGGAUUUAUUGGGGUGAAAGGGAGCGUAGAUGGGCUGUUAAGUCAGUUGUGAAAGUUUGCGGCUCAACCGUACAAGUGCAAUUGAUACUGGCAGUCUUGAGUACAGUUGAGGUAGGCGGAAUUCGUGGUGUAGCGGUGAAAUGCUUAGAUAUCACGAAGAACUCCGAUUGCGAAGGCAGCCUAC
rnacentral:rRNA from 1 species